GAGGCCUUGCGAUGGGCCGAUCCCUCGUCCAAGGAGUGCUACCUAAUGUCUAUAGAUCAAGGCCCGCAGGUGCUCAAGACACUGAAGAACGGGACGCCUAAGAUAAACACGAUGUGCCAUAUGGUUUUGCUAAAGAAAGUACUUUGGCGUUAUAAAAAUCAAAACAUCAUCUCUCUGUGGAUGACACUGAUGAUCCCGCUAGAUGGUAACAAAAUACGUGGAAUUCUAGUUGCCUUUACGAACUUGGCAGAUAUAUAUUUACGUCUUAAGAACUAAAAGAGAUACAUAUAAAAUAUUCUUAUAAAUGUAUACACAUAUAUUAAAGCAAGACUAUGAACGUCUUCGCCUAUACAUAAACACAUGUACGUUAGUAGAUACUGGGACACGCGAGUGACUAUUGGUAAUAAACAUGUGGGUCUCUGCCGCUCAAA